rnacentral:rRNA from 1 species
GUGGGGAAUAUUGGACAAUGGGCGCAAGCCUGAUCCAGCAAUGCCGCGUGGGUGAAGAAGGUCUUCGGAUCGUAAAGCCCUUUCGACAGGGACGAUGAUGACGGUACCUGUAGAAGAAGCCCCGGCUAACUUCGUGCCAGCAGCCGCGGUAAUACGAAGGGGGCUAGCGUUACUCGGAAUUACUGGGCGUAAAGGGCGCGUAGGCGGCUCUGUUAGUCAGGCGUGAAAUUCCUGGGCUUAACCUGGGGACUGCGCUUGAUACUGCAGGGCUUGAGGCCGAGAGAGGGUGAUGGAAUUCCCAGUGUAGAGGUGAAAUUCGUAGAUAUUGGGAAGAACACCGGUGGCGAAGGCGACCACCUGGCUCGGUUCUGACGCUGAGGCGCGACAGCGUGGGGAGCAAACAGGAUUAGAUACCCGGGUAGUCC